rnacentral:rRNA from 1 species
ACGUAGGGGGCGAGCGUUGCCCGGAUUUACUGGGCGUAAAGCGCGCGUAGGCGGCUACUUAAGUGGGGAGUUAAAGGCUCCGGCUCAACCGGAGAAAUGCUUUUCAAACUGGGUAGCUUGAGUGUGGGAGAGGGAAGCGGAAUUCCUGGUGUAGCGGUGAAAUGCGUUGAUAUCAGGAGGAACACCGGUGGCGAAGGCGGCUUCCUGGCCUACUACUGACGCUGAGGCGCGAAAGCGUGGGGAGCAAACGG